GAAAAGAUUGCAAUAAUUGGGUCUUUAAUCAAAAUGGGUGUUGUUUUGAACAUCUUGUUGAUCAAAUAAAAGUUCAUUCAUGGUGGUGGUAUAAAGCUAAGAAUAAUAGUUUCGCGUAUGAAAUUGCUCCAUGGUGGACAAAUCCAAGUAUGUGUCUUGACCUUUGUAAUAGCUUAUGAACUCUCAAGGUGUUAUUGCGGCAUCAUACGUUGAUAUAUUUCUUUUUCUUUUGCUCCUUUAAAUUAGUGUUAUAUAGAAACUUGUUUAAUUCUAA
rnacentral:lncRNA from 1 species